CAAUAGCGUAUAUUAAAGUUGUUGCAGUUAAAAAGCUCGUAGUUGAAUUUUUGCUUGCCGCCGAUGUCGGAACUUCCGUACGUUCGGCGGCGUGCAUCCUUGGGUGGAACCUGUGUGGCAUUAGGUUGUCGUGCAGGGGAUGCUCAUCGUUUACUGUGAAAAAAUUAGAGUGUUCAAAGCAGGCUUACGCCGUUGAAUAUAUUAGCAUGGAAUAAUAAGAUAGGACCUUGGUACUAUUUUGUUGGUUUGCGCACCGAGGUAAUGAUUAACAGUGACAGUUGGGGGUAUUCGUAUUCCAUUGUCAGAGGUGAAAUUCUUGGAUUUCUGGAAGACGAACUACUGCGAAAGCAUUUACCAAGGAUGUUUUCAUUAA
rnacentral:rRNA from 1 species